CUUCUGCACGUUCCUUUCGUUCACUUCAAAUGUCACUCGCAUUACGCAUUACGCAUACGCCACGUUGCUUUCACUUUGCUGCUGCUGAACAAAAAUCAGAUACCUGUCCCAAGAGGCAACUACUUUACGCACUUUACAACACUUUUGGCUGUUCACUAAAUUACUUUUUAUUGUUUCAAUUUAUUUUAUUCCGAAAGUUUUUUAAUUGUUUAUCGCUUCUCAAUGUUUGCUUCUCUUUUGACUUUUUAAUUAAACAUUUUAUUUUGUAUUCAGCUAUUUUGUUUUUUUUCUCUAUUUUGUUCUUUGUCACAACUCGCAAACCCGUAAAAC